AUGUAUAAAUUCAGGAUCAGCUAUAUAGAGUGACCCAAAGCAUAUCUAGAAACAAACCUUCCAUCAUGUCUUACAUGGCAUUGGCUUUCAUUGUCCUGAUUGCCCUGGCAGCAGUUAAUGGUGAACCUGAAAAUGUUGAUGCAGAUAUGGGAUCAAGUAAAUGUUAUUACAAGUAUUAUGGGAAAUGUCGUGUGAGAUGCAAGAAGUAUGAGUUUGAUCAAGGAAAAAAGGGUUGCCAUCUCUUUCAAAGGUGCUGUGUUCGUGGAUUUAAAUGAAAGAACUGCUUAUGACAUUAUGCUUCAGUGAUUUAUUUUUCUCUAGUCGUAGAAUAAUCCGUCAUGGAGAAGCUUCUGAGUUCUUUUGCUUUAUAAAGACCAUCUCCUCACCAUAUCUUCUUUGCUUCUACAUUAUUCAUUACUAACUGCAACUCUAAUGAUUAGUGAUUGGUAAUGCUGCAAAGUCUCUGAGCUAAAAUAAUUUCAUAAUGUGACAUGAAACUGUCUUUGAAUGCUGACUUUUGCUUAAAUUACCAUUAAAUGUAGAUUUUUGCAUUUA